rnacentral:rRNA from 1 species
GAUGAGCUCGCGUCAGAUUAGCUAGAUGGUGUGGUAAAGGCGCACCAUGGCGACGAUCUGUAGCUGGUCUGAGAGGAUGAGCAGCCACACUGGGACUGAGACACGGCCCAGACUCCUACGGGAGGCAGCAGUGGGGAAUUUUCCGCAAUGGGCGAAAGCCUGACGGAGCAACGCCGCGUGAGGGAGGAAGGCUCUUGGGUUGUAAACCUCUUUUCUCAAGGAAGAAGAAAGUGACGGUACUUGAGGAAUCAGCCUCGGCUAACUCCGUGCCAGCAGCCGCGGUAAUACGGAGGAGGCAAGCGUUAUCCGGAAUUAUUGGGCGUAAAGAGUCCGUAGGUGGCCUUUCAAGUCUGCUGUUAAAGCGUGGAGCUUAACUCCAUAAAGGCAGUGGAAACUGAAAAGCUAGAGUUCGGUAGGGGUAGCGGGAAUUCCCAGUGUAGCGGUGAAAUGCGUAGA